AGUGAACGCUGGCGGUAGGCCUAACACAUGCAAGUCGAGCGGCAGCACAGUAAGAGCUUGCUCUUACGGGUGGCGAGUGGCGGACGGGUGAGGAAUACAUAGGCAUCUACUUUUUCGUGGGGGAUAACGUAGGGAAAGUUACGCUAAUACCGCAUACGACCUACGGGUGAAAGCAGGGGAUCUUCGCAGCUUUCGCGACUGAAUGAGCCGAUGUCGGAUUAGCUAGUUGGGGGGGUAAAGGCACACCAAGGCGACGAUCCGUAGCUGGUCUGAGAGGAUGAUCAGCCACACUGGAACUGAGACACGGUCCAGACUCCUACGGGAGGCAGCAGUGGGGAAUCUUGGACAAUGGGCGCAAGCCUGAUCCAGCCAUACCGCGUGGGUGAAGAAGGCCUUCGGAUUGUAAAGCCCUUUUGUUAGGAAAGAAAAUCAGCAUGUUAAUCCCCCGCUGUCUUGACGGUACCCAAAGAAUAAGCACCGGCUAACUUCGUG
rnacentral:rRNA from 1 species